CCUGUUACAAAAGAGACACCCACCUGGAAGAGCUGCCAUCACUCACUGAGUGACUGAUGAGAACAGAUCCAGCUGGGACUUUACUUAGAGAGAAAGCCACAUAAAGUCACAAAGCAUCCGAGUGCCCUUCUGUACAGCAGCCUUUGUAGUUGCUCCUUUCCUGCUGCUUUUCCCAAUGGCCUGCCUCAUCUUCACAGAAAUCUCUCUUGCCUCACUUGUCUGGAGCAUGUUGCUCUCCAGCACUUGUACUGAGCUGAAGUCACUCUGCAAGCCACGGCUGGGUGUUGGCUAUCUGAAGGGUACGUGCAUAGCCUUUAUGCCAUGGCUCCAGAUCUACAUGGGAAAAUCAGGGCUGCAAAUCUUUGAAGCCCUGAGGGUCUGUACGUAUCUAUACUUACUGUAGUUUUAGAGGGAGCCUAGAACUAAAGAUCACUUGCGGCUUGAACCAAAGAUCACGCAUUCUUGAGUUUCUUUCCAAUCAGCUUGAAAGUUCUUGUUUUACAAAAAUGAAGUGUUCCCAGAUUUGUUGGCCUCGGAGUGGAACUAGGAGGAAUAUGGAAUGAAAAAAAUCAGCAUACCCUCCCACCAACCAUGAUCGUGUCAUUUGACUCCCCGACAAUUAAACACUUCACCACUUGACAAGUCACAUCUGGCUUUUCUGCAGACCAGCACAGGCUUAUACUAAGCCAACUGAUGCCAUCCUUGCUCACUUCAUAAAUAUACUUGAUGAUGAAGUAUCAUAAAAGAAAGCCUGACUUUUCCUACAGGAAAUUUUUUUUAUUCCUCUAACUGCAUUUCAGAACACAGGUAUGUUGAACAUGGAGCUUUUCCACACAUGGCUACAAGACUUGACCAAGAAACAUCAAAGCACAUAGUUAUGGCACUUUUCAGUCUAAGUUUGGUAACAGCUACUGUCAUGAGAUACCUUAAAAAAAUCCAGGACUAAGCUCUUCUGAACUUUCAUCAAUGGCCUUCUAACAGCUUUGCUUGGUACUCUUGCAACUUGACUUUGUUUCUUAAAAGCAAAUAAGAUUUCAUCAGAUUGUAUUAACAAUAUAAAAAAUUUAGCAAAAAAGAAAGAGGUGACUGCUGUUUUUACAUAUUACUCAAAUGAAAAAAAUAACCAUAUAUACCUCUUGUAGCAGCUACUUUUCUCAGCAAUAUAUUUGGCCACUUUGAUAGUAAACGGAACACUAGAGUCAUUUAAAAGUUUCAAGUCUUCAAGUUUAAUCAGAAUCUAUCAUUUUCCGGAAGUGGCCUAGGAACAAAAAAAUCAAAUAACAACAAAACAACAAACAAAUAAACAAACAAACAAACAAAAACAAUGUACUCAGUCAGCUUUGAAGGGAAAAAUAGGAAGAUCAAGAACUGACUGAAGAAAUCAAGAUCAGUAACUGCCAAGUUUAACUUAACUCCCUUGUGGCACACCCAGUAAUAACUGCAGAUUUGACUGCAGUGAAGAAGUGGAACAAAACGUCUGGCUCUCCAGGGAAAGAUGGAAGGUAUCUAAAACAUCUUCUCAUAGUUCAUACAUUUCAGCAUUUGACACAAAACUGGUAUGUACAUAUAUAUAAAGCGUAUCUCCCUGAUCCUACUUAUUCACCGUUGUGCUAUGCAGAAUAGAAGACGACCUGCCAUGUC